UUCUAUGAAUUUGAAAACGUUAGAUACCUCAUAUAAGUAUUUGUCUUUUGUGACUAACUUUUUUCUAUUUAGCACACUGUCCUCAAGGCUCAUCUAUGUUGUGGCAUAUGUCAGAAUAUAUCUGAAUAGCCUUCUUUUUAAAGGCAGAAUAAUAUUACAUGAUAUGACUAUGCCACAUCUUGUUUAUCUAUUAAAUAGACACUUGAAUUGCUUCCACCUUUUAACUUUCUGGACUAUUUUUGCUACAAGGAAUAUUUUUGUGAUUUGAGGACAACAUAUAUUUACAAGAAAAAUAAACAGAAUAUGUCACUUAAUGGUAUUUGUGUAUUUAUUCUAAGUGGCUAUACAGUCUUGGAAGAAAAUUCUGGUACAUUGUGUUAGACGUUGUAACCCUCUGAUCACUUGUCUUACCCUCCUUCUACAGUCUUCAGUUCUUCUUGGAUUAUUGUCUAAUUGAAUAUGAGUCACAUGGCUACUUUGGGACAAUUUAUCUGAGAACACAGUAAAGUGUUAGAUGGCACCAUCAAAUAUAUCCACUUAUCAGAGGUACUAUUUCUUUCUAGUUGAGAUUUUAUGUCACAGCACAUGUUUGCAAAGUAUCAUGUGAUCAGUUGAAUCAAGCAAACAUUUUAAAAGUUCUCUGAGAAUGUAUUCUGUAAUCAGUACAGUGCCCUUCAUAGGACAGUGAAAUCUCCAGAUCUAACAUGUCAUAAGGAAAGAGUCUUGGGGACUCUUGGGGAAAGGGAGGGGAAGAGUGGAAAAGGGGGAGAGUGUCUUCUCAAUAGCUUUUAGUGAAUUUGGAAAAUUGUCUCCAGGACUAGAAAAAAUGAAAAAGCAGCAUUUAGACACAUGGCUGCGAGUCCCUAAUCUACUCUUCAGUUAUGUCUAAAGUUCAGUAAACAAUACUUUGGUGCUUUAAAGCAUUUUCAGCGAGCAUUCUUGAUCAUUGCCAACAGGAGCCAAUAAAAAUCUAUCAUAUCAAAAGAAUGGCAGCCAGUACCCGGGCAUUCCUGGUUAAACAACCAAGAAAACUUGCUCCAAAUUUCCAGGAGGGAAUUCAACCCCAGCUUUUGUAGUUCACCACAGACCUUGGACAUGUUCGAUAUUGUGACUGUCAGUAACCUAGAUUUUAAAGGCACUUAUUCCUAAGGAAUAAGUAAACAAAAUUCACAGCAGGGCUCUGUGUCUUAUUGCACGCUGGGGAUGUGUCGUAUUUCACAACUCAGCAGCCUUGACAUCUCUGGCUGUUUCAUCUUUUCUCUGGCUGAUUUUGCCUCCUUUUUCUUAACUGCAGUUGGUGCCCUGUAUUCACAUGUUACUAUUAUAAUCUUGACAUCCGAGCUUCUCCUGUAGCUGUGCUUUAAGUACUUUGUCUGGGAGUUUAGUUUCCUGUUCACUUGACUUCCCUUCUUUGUGUAGCCUGAUCCUUACUACGACCUGCUUUUCAAUCAACUUGCUCGUUCCAAUCUAAGUAGUGUUGCCAGCCUUCUGAGUGGGCCUGCACAAGAUCAUAAGUGGACCUGGUGCCUCCACGGGCUCUUUCCAAUGCUAAAAAGCUGAAGAGCAGGGAGCUAAAGAGCAGGGAACCCAGGCAUUACUAAAGGCUGCUCCCAAUGGUAGGCAUUCUCAAACUUAAGAUCGUAACAGAAUCACCUGAAGGCACCCUGAAAGAAAUUGUUGCCAGGUGUUACUCCCAAAACUUCUGAUUGAGCAGGUCUGGGCUGGGCUCAGAAGAUCUGAAUUUCUAACAAAUUUCCAGGUGAUGCUGACGCGGCUGGUCUGGGGACCACUCUUGGAGAAUUAAUGCUCAAGGGUAAAAAUAGUAAUAAUGGAAAAGAAUCACAUCUUAUAUUAUUGGUCACUUAUAUACAAGAUGCUAUUCUAAGUCCUUUAGUCACUUUGUGUUUACAAUAAUUUUUGCUUUUUCUAUUUUAAAAGAGUAAACUGAGUCACAGAGAAGUGAACUAUGUUUUCUCAAAGUCACCCUGUAGGUGCUGGUGCUGGGCGGUGAAUCUUGGUAGUCAGGUUCAGAGCCCAUGGUUUUAAAUGAACCUCUAUAAUAUCAAGUAAUGUGUCUGAUAGUUUGAAAUAAGUAUAUUUUUCAUAUACUCAUGUAUGAACCUAUUAAAAAUUUUGAGGUGGUUAAAAAUAAUCAUUAUUGUUAAUAAUAAUUUUAUUGGUAACUUUUCCACCAAUUUUAUUCAUUUUUUUAUAUACUAUCCCCCAUUGUGGACCAGAAUAAUGAAGAAUGAAGGACUAUCAUAAAGUUUUAAUGGAAAAUUUUAAAGACAAUUUACCUCUUAAAAUGAAGAGCAUUCUUGCAUAUUUUUUCUUUUUCUACCUCCUCUUCUUUUGAAUUUUUUGAAUGCCCCUUCAAUCUUCAGUCAGAGUAGUAUUUCAUGUUCUUCUAUCACCUGUGAAAAUGUGGCUUGUACUUUCUUGUCUCCAGAGAAUGAUCCUUUGCCUGUCUGUCUGUCCUCUCUCCUUCACUGAUAGUAUUAAAUUAACUGGGCUUUCCAAGAGCUGAAAAUGGAAAACAUUAUUAAUUUGAGGAUUGCUGCUUCAAUGACAGUAAAUUGUGACACAUUAUCUCUUCUUGAGUCUCCAUGCCUGUGACCAUGGUCCUUUAGAGCAAACAAAGUCUUAAAACCAAUAAUAUUGCAUUUCAUCAAAACUAAGAUGCCACUGAUUUAGGAAGGACCAUUAUUUCACUGUAUGUGCAGGCAUAACUUGUUUUAUUGUACUUUAUUGCGCUUCACAGAUGUUGCUUUUUUUUUUUUUCAAAUUAAGGGUAAGACUCUCCAGCAGCAAAAAGAGUUUAACUUGUUUCAUUGUGUUGGUCUAGAACAGAACCUGCAAUAUCUUUGAGAACAAGAAAUGCCUCACUGGAAGCAGCUGUGUGAACCUGGGCUACUCAUUCAAUGUCUUGGGGCAUCUGGGUCUCAAAACUAGAGCACACAUGCCCGGGGUCUGUGCCAGAGUGAUCCACUGGGAGCUGGAAGAAAUGUUAGGACCUUUACUUGCAUUUUUUUCCAUCUGAAAUAUGAAGAAAAAUAUUAAGCUUUACUAACAUUUGACAUUUGAAUCAAGAGGAUACAAAUAUAUCAUUUGUAAAUGUACAAAUUUUGGAAGUGCAUGCUAAAAAAUGUAAUACUGUUAAUGUCUUACGAUUUUAAAAAGUGUGGAUCUACACCUUUUGAAGAUUAGGGUAGAUUGGUAUUUUUUCAAAUUACUGGUUGCAACUUAUUGGUUGGUCACACAAUCAAUUUAGUAGAUUUUUAAAGAGUGAAAUAAAAGAGCAGAGUGCACUGGUCGCAGUAAGAAUUAGGUAUUGCUCUGUGAAGCUUGUCAGAUGAAUGUGUGUGAAUACUGGGUGCUGAUGUGAAAUCUGCCUCCUGUUGUGGCUUGUGGUUUGAAAAAAAAUGAAAACGACUGGACUAGAGAGGCAGUUCUCCAAGUGUCUCUCUCAGAUGAGCAGCGGCGGCAGAUGGGAAUUUAUUAGAAAGGCAAAUUCUUCCAUUUCACCCCAGAUUUGCAGUAUCAAACAAAAGUGGGGUGCAGCCCAGCGAUUAUGGCUCAACAAACACUCCCAGUAGCUCUGAUUGAUGAGUGCUAGAGCUUAAAGCCACUGGCCUAGAACAUCGCUAGGAUUCAUCUGGUUACAAAGUUUAAGAAUUUGUCAAACUAUUCCUUUAAAGCAAUGUUUUUCAAAUUUACCUGAUCAUAAGAAUUACCUGGGUGAUUUAAAAGUACCUCGGAAAAAUAGAGAUGGACUCAUAGAUAGAAAGCAGGAUGACAGCUAUGGGGUGGGGGAAGUUAUCGAGUGGAGGGAUCGAACCAAAAGGAGAAAAGAUUCGUGGACAUGGACAAGUGUGCUUCUUGCAGGGGAGCAGGGGCUAUAAGGGGGGUAGAUGGUAAUGGAAAAAAUACAAUAAAAAACUAAAAAAUAAAUAAG